rnacentral:rRNA from 1 species
AAAACAUCUCUUUUAGAAUAAAAUUUUAAGUUGACUCUGCCCAAUGAAUUUUAAAUGGCUGCAGUAUAUUGACUGUACAAAGGUAGCAUAAUAAAUUGUUUUUUAAAUGAAAACUAGAAUGAAUGAGGUGAUGAAAUAUAAACUUUUUUUAGAUAAUUAAUUGAAUUUUAUUUUUAAAUUAAAAAGUUUAAAUUAAUUUAAGGGACGAGAAGACCCUAUAGAAUUUAACAAUUUAGAAUUUUUAUAGAAGAAAUCAAUUAAAUUUGUUAAUUUGGGAGGAAUAUUAAAUUUUUAAACUUUAAUACAAAUUAACAUAAAUAAAUGGUUAUAUUGAUUUUAAUUAUUAAAUUUUAGAUUAAAUUACCUUAGGGAUAACAGCGUAAUAUUUUUUGAAAGUUCAUAUUAAAAAAAGUG